AGACAGCAGUAGCCGCGGUAAUACGAAGGGUGCGAGCGUUGAUCGGAAUUACUGGGCGUAAAGCGUACGCAGGCGGUUUGUUAAGUCAGAUGUGAAAUCCCCGAGCUUAACUCGGGAACUGCAUUUGAAACUGGCAGGCUAGAGUCUCGUAGAGGGGGGUAGAAUUCCAGGUGUAGCGGUGAAAUGCGUAGAGAUCUGGAGGAAUACCGGUGGCGAAGGCGGCCCCCUGGACGAAGACUGACGCUCAGGUACGAAAGCGUGGGGAGCAAACAGGAUUAGAUACCCCAGUAGUCCCUGUCUCUUAUAC
rnacentral:rRNA from 1 species